rnacentral:rRNA from 1 species
AACGAACGCUGGCGGCAGGCUUAACACAUGCAAGUCGAACGCAUCCUUCGGGGUGAGUGGCAGACGGGUGAGUAACGCGUGGGAACGUGCCCUUCAGUUCGGGAUAACCCAGGGAAACUUGGGCUAAUACCGGAUACGUGCGAGAGCAGAAAGAUUUAUCGCUGAAGGAUCGGCCCGCGUCUGAUUAGCUAGUUGGUGGGGUAAUGGCCCACCAAGGCGACGAUCAGUAGCUGGUCUGAGAGGAUGAUCAGCCACAUUGGGACUGAGACACGGCCCAAACUCCUACGGGAGGCAGCAGUGGGGAAUAUUGGACAAUGGGCGCAAGCCUGAUCCAGCCAUGCCGCGUGAGUGAUGAAGGCCUUAGGGUUGUAAAGCUCUUUCGUCCGGGACGAUAAUGACGGUACCGGGAGAAGAGGCCCCGGCUAACUUCGUGCCAGCCGCCGCGGUAAAAC